GUAUGCGUGUGAUGAUUAAGUAAACUGGCAUAGUUCAACAGACGAGGUCUUACUAACCUUUGAAUGUUGACAAAAAAAACUUUCGCCCCUAUCUGAUCUUAUAA
rfam:Rhizopus oryzae RA 99-880 supercont3.3 genomic scaffold, whole genome shotgun sequence.